GCCUACGGGGGGCAGCAGUGGGGGAUAUUGCACAAUGGGGGAAACCCUGAUGCAGCGACGCCGCGUGUGGGAAGACGGUCUUCUGGAUUGUAAACCACUGUCCCCAGGGACGAAAAUGACGGUACCUGGGGAGGAAGCUCCGGCUAACUACGUGCCAGCAGCCGCGGUAAUACGGAGGAUGCGAGCGUUAUCCGGAUUUAUUGGGUUUAAAGGAUGCGCAGGCGGCCUGUUAAGUCAGCGGUAAAAGCCCGGGGCUCAACCCCGGCGAGCCGUUGAAACUGGCGGGCU
rnacentral:rRNA from 1 species